UAGGACCUCGGGCACUGGCGAAGGGGCGAGGAAGGCCGAGGUGUUAGCUCCGAGAGAGGGCUGUGGGUGGGGGUAGGGAGCUGAGGGUGUGCUCUGCGCACGCGCCGGAACCACACUGCUGCGAUCCCGCAGAGGCAGUCCUUUCCUGGCGACAGCGCAGCAGCUGGCCCUUCGCCUGUUGUUCACUGCCUCCUUGUUCUGCUGCUGCCACCCUGGCAACCCGACCUCAGUGCCGCCGUUCCCUGCACCCUGUCUUGGGACGUCCGGCGCCAAGAAUUCGUGCUGCGACGUUCCCUUCAGCUAAGGAGGUGACACCAAAUGUGAUUAGAAACCGUGUCACUGGUGAAGAGGUGAGCCCUGCCUGGCCUAGCAAGGUUACUAGAGAAUUGAAAAAGGAUCAAAUCAGCGUCUUGCAGGUGGUUAUCAAACCAUUGUGAAGUCUUGCAUUUUACAGAAGUCUACCAGAUCUUCCACAUGUGUGAACAGGCAGAAGAGGGAGUCCUCUCAGUGAUUAACACGUGAUUAAGGAUCAGCCCCCUAAUCGGCUUCAGGGAAUACUGAAAAGGUUCGUAAUUAAACUAGGCAACAUCUGUCUUGGGAGAAAUAUGCAGAGGCUGCCCUACUUUAAGCUAGUAGCACCUCCAUCCAGAGUUAAUGCCUGAAGGCCAGAUCAUUCUCUGGUAUCUGCCAUUUUUCAUGAAAGUAAUAAAGAAAACCAUUUCCCAUGAGAAUGGUCUUGAGAUGGUGCCUUCACAGAAUAAUGUUCCUUAUACAGGCUCUGGAGUAGUGUAUGGAUAAUUCCUACUGACAGAAUUAGGUAAUUAGUCUGCACAGGGAACCUUAUGAUAUAAAAGUUGGCUUUACCCUGAGGAGAAGCCUGGAAUAGUCCUUGAUACAAAGGGAAUCCCUUUAUUCUCCAUCCUCCUCCACAACUGAUUUUGAAAUGACCUUGCUCACAUAUAGGGAUAAGAAUGUUAGCACGCUGUUAAAAAAAAAAGUCCUCCUAUCUUUCCAUAUUGGCCAAAAUAGGUUAUAUAAAUCUGACUUUUGCGGUCUGAAUUCCAGUUCUUUCUCUAGUUCUUCCAUAUCCCUGUUAUCCAUCCUCCUUUCCUUUUGUGACAACAGGUCUGUUGUUUUCUUCUGCCUUUCUCUUUACGCUAGUCAUCUAGCACCCACACAACUUUUGAAAAUUUCCUUUCUAAAGUCAUAUAAUAAUAAUAGCACUUAUCAGUUAUAAGUGCUUUUAUGUUCUAAAGUUUUUACACAUUUGUUGUCUCAUUUUAACUUAACAUUAAAAGUAGGAUUUGUUCCUACUUUACAGGUAAUAAAACUGAGAAUCAGAGAGGUGAUGUCACCAACAUAAAACAGGGAGCCAGUGAUGGAGCUGUAUGUGUCACACUCCAAGAUCUAAACAACCUUAAUAUACUCUAAGCACUGGAACAUGGAUUAGGAAGACUUCAUCUUUCCAUUGAUAUCUCAAAAUGUGAUCUGGACAAAGGAACGUGUAUUUCGGUCAAUUGACUCAUCAUUUCAUUACCAACCAUGAUUUUUAGUCACAGAAGCUGCAGCCCAUUCUCUGAGGGCCCUGAAGCAUGGUUUGUUCCCAUGGAAAAGAACCUGAUGAAAGACUGAUAAUGUGAACAUGUUCCUCACAGCAGGCCUCAGUGAAAGAAAAUGGCUGUGCACAGAGGGAGAACUGAGCACACUGUCUGUUCUUCAAGGAUACCUCUGUGGGUUGGGGCUGUUAAUGCUCACUGUCUUGACAGACCUGCUUGAACAGGGAGACCUGUAAAAACAACUUGCCAAGUUCUUACCACAUGUACCAUUGGAAUUGCAAAUGGAAUGGAAUUGAAUAUAUAGAUUAAUUUUUGGAGAGCUAUAAUCUUUAUAACUUCAUACACGAAUGUGCUUCUCUCUGCUGCCUUUUGAGCUGCCAGGCACUUUGCUGGGUGAUGGGGAUAUGGAGAUGAAUUAGACACAGUCCCUGCCCUCAAGGAGUUCUCAGUCUAGUGAGAGAGUUCAACAUGUACACAGAUGUUUACAGCAGUAUGGUAUGCUCUACAAUGGAGGUAUGUACAAGGCACCGUGGGGUUCAGAAGAGAAAUCAUUUGACAGAGUCUGAGAUGCCAGAGGUUGGAGGAGCCAAUCAAUGCUUUAGUUGAUUCUUAAAAGAACUAAAGUUUGGCCGGGCAGAAAACAGAGGGAAGGACCUUUUAAGCAAGGGCAUGGACAUUGGGAAUUGUUGAAAUGUGGGAAUGACAAUUCCUGAAAUUAGGCUGGAAAUGUAGGCUGUGAAUAGAUCUUUAUAUAGUAUGGCCUGAAAUCUGGAUUUCAUUUUGAGUGUUUUAAGAAGGGUAUGCUUUUAAUAUGGCCACUCUGGCAGCAGUAUGCAGUAUGUUCUGGAAGAUUUUCAAACCUGGACAGGGAGAUCAGGACACAGUAGUAGUUAAGAUGAUAAAUGAUCUAAGGCCAGGAAGAAUGGGAGUGUAGAAGCGGGGAUACCUUCUUAAUAAGAGAUCAUAAAAACAGAUAUAAUAGAAUAUGGGAAAAUUAAGGUGGUAAAGAGAGAAAAAUCAAGGCCUUCAGACUUUGGUAAAUGUGCACGCCCCCACCCCUAUCCAUGGGCUUGAAAGACCCUCUUGUGUUCUCUGAAUGCGUGUUACUUUGGUUCCUUCUGGACUAGAUCUUGGCUGCAUAGAUUUUUGCUAGUUUCUUUUUGGGGUGGCAGUCGUAUAUGAAAUGUUGAUUUCGGGAAGACAUCCAAACAGCUUCAGACCUCUUAGAGUAUUACUAAGUUCCUUGUCCUUCUUGUAAGUAGUAGGCCUACUGUCACUGUCACAUGUCUUCCAAAGGACUUUUUACCAAAACUGGAGUUUUUAUAUCUAAAGCCCAUUCAGGGAAGAAAUGGCCUUAGUUUCUUUUUUUUUUAAUUAAGAUCAUUGAUACACACUUUUAUGAAGGUUUCACAAGAAAAACAAUGUGGUUAUGACAUUCACCCUUAUUAUCGAGUCACCCCCCCAUACCCCAUUUCAGUCACUGUCCAUCAGUGUAGUAAGAUGCCACAGAGUCCCUGUCUGUCUUCUCUGAGCUACACUGUCUUUACCGUGACCCCACACACACCAUGUGCACCAGUCAUGAUGCUCCACAAUCCCCUUCUUCCUCCCUCCCCACCCACCCUCCCCCAUCCCUCUCCUUUGGUAACUGCUAGUCCCUUCUUGGAGUCUGUGAGUCUGCUGCUAUUUUGUUCCUUCAGCCCUGCUUCGCUGUUAUACUCCACAAAUGAGGGAAAUCACCUGGCACUUGUCUUUCUCCACCUGACCCACCCCUCCAAGCACAAUACCCUCCAGCUCCAUCCAUGCCGCUGCAAAUGGCAGGAUUUGUUUCCUUCCUAUGGCUGAGCAGUAUUCCACUGUGCACAUGCACCACAUCUUCCCUAUCCAUUCAUCUACCUAUGGACACCCAGGUUGCUUCUAUAUCCUGGCCAUUGCAAACAGUGCUGCAAUAAACAUAGGGGUGCAUAUAUCCUCUUGAAUCUGAGAAGUUGUUUUCUUUGGGUAAAUUCCUAGGAGUGGAAUUCCUGGGUCAAAUGGUAUUUCUGUUUUUAGUUUUUUGAGGAACCUCCAUAUUGCUUUCCACAAUGGUUGAACUAAUUUAUAUUCCCACCAGCAGUGUAGGAGGGUUCCCCUUUCUACGCAUCCUCGCCAGCAUUUGUGUUCCUAGUCUUUUCGAUGUUGGCCAUCCUAACUGGUAUGAGGUAAUAUCUCAUUGUGGUUUUAAUUUGCAUUUCCCUGAUAAUUAGCGAAAUGGAGCAUCUUUUCAUGUGCCUGUUGGGAAGAAAUGGCCUUAGUUAUUAUUGUCUCAAUUGCUUUGUUUUACAGAGGGAUUUAAGAAUGUUCAUGGCUACAUUUCCAAGCAAAAUAUGUUCAAUAAUUGAAAAUUUAAACAUCCAAUGUUUAUUUUCUCUUUUCUCAAUGUAAUAUAAAUACAAUAUUCUUUGUGAAACUGAUUCAGAGAAUGGCUUUCUGUGACUACAAUUAUUGAUGGGAGGUUAUAUUUAGACAUGUAUUUUCAGUGGACCUUAUGUUACUAGCCAUUCUGAAGGGCAGUAGGGUGGAGAAGGGUUGGGAAAAGAAGUCCUGUAUAGGGCAUGAAGGCAGUACAGUGAGAGUUUGAGUGUCAGGACUAGAUAGCCUGGGUUCAAAUCUGCUCUACACUUACCAACGUGGUCUUGUUCAUGGUUUUUCACCUCGCUGGGACUUUAUUUCCUUUUAUGUAAAAUAGGGGUAAUAACCUUUAUUGCACUGAUUUGGGGGAAGGGGAAUAUAAGGAUUUAAUGGAAUUUAUAUGUAAAUUUCUUAGAAGAGUCUGGAAAUGAUAACUGCCAAAUCAACUAUAUUUGUUGCUGAUAAUGAAUGGUGACCAUGACAUGGAUUAAAAGAAGAUAGUUAACUCGAGUUAUUUAUAUUUUACAUCAUGAAUGAGGAUGUCGGAGUGUGAGAAAGUAAGAAAAACUAAGUGACCCCAAGGUUUUCAAUGGUAUAUAAGUGUGAAGCCACUUUGCCUUUUUUUUUUCUGCCAAAUAGUUUGGGAAACCAGAUAAAUUGUGUGUAUGUGCCCUGUUCACUGAUCUAUUGCCUUUGCUUUUUUUUCCAAAUAGAAAACUGUUAAAAGUUGUGUUACACUUAAAUAAAGGUUAUCUCUGAAAAGUAGAAAAUGCUUUGUAGUUAGUCAAAACUGGAUUUAAAACCUUACUCAUCUAUUUGAUACCUGUGUGAUCUAAGCCAUGUCAGUUAACCUCACUGAACCACAGUGUCUUCAUCUGAUAUAAUAAUUAAUUUUCAGGGUUUAUAUGAGGAUAUUUGUAAAGUGUUUUCUGUAAACACUGUAAAUUACAGCUAUCAUUGUUAGUUCCUGGAUACUCGACGCAUGACAGAAACAACAGCAGUCCCUGGUGGCUGGGAGGACUUCAUGGAUACAACAGCAACCUGGAGUUGUGCUCUUCUGAAGAAAUCCUACUCGGAUGGAUAUAAUACAACCUGCUAAGUGUCCUAGCACUUAUCAGGUUGUAUUAUCAUUGUCCGUGUCUAUGGUUCUCAUCUAUCAGACUAAAUUCCUUACGAGCAAGGACAGUGCCUUUGUAUUCGCAGUGCCUCAUCCAGUGCACAUUGUAGGUCUCAUUAAAUGUUUGUUGAAUGAAAAAAUGAAUCAUCAACAGACAUUAAUUGGGCGCCUGCUCUGUGAUCUCCAUGGGCUCAGCUUGUCCCCACCAGUUGCCUACAACAUCCAAGCUGUCUUCAGUAUGCUUUUUCCUGAAACUUCCUCCUCCUUUCUGCUAAUUCUUUUGCCGAGGACCUUGCUGUGUAAUGAGAGGAUAGCAAAUAUACAUCAAAUACCAUCUCCAGUUGAUUUACAGUGGCUGCCUUGGUUAUCUAUAAAAAUUCUGAAGCCAGGUCUCAGCUCAGUGUGAAAGGUUGUAACUGGUGAUGCUUGGUGAGGGUGGGAGAGGAGGGAGUAGCAGCCCAAAUGCCACAUAUAUGUCAUAUUUAAUACUGUGUUUUCCAUGAAAUACUGUGUUUCUAGGCCCUGUAUUUUAGUCUUGGCUGCUUGAAGAUGUUGCGUGGCUGCCACUGCUGCUACUACAAGUACUGCCAGUUGCUCCUUGGGUAGGACCAUGGUGAUCAUUGAUCAGAAACAUUACCUGACAGUGUGGGGUUUGCUUCUGUGGCUUCUAUUCAAUUUUCCCUUUUCAACUUUACUUCAGAUGUCCUCUUAACAUACAGUGACAGAUAUGCCUCCACUUCCUAUUCACCACUCAACCGGCUCAUGUUUCCUUUUUCUUAUUUAGUGUGAUUAAUCAUUGUGCUAGGAGAAGCCUUUGUGUUAGAAGAUGUGACAACUAGAGUACAAGUAAAAUCAUGCCAUCAGGGCCCUACCAUGAGUCAUAUACACUCCUUUUAAUAUGGGAUAAAAUUGAGUGUGACUGCAGAUUGCACAGCACAAAGGACUGAGAAGGGAAUCGUAGAUGUGGGAGACAGAGAUGAGAACACAUGGAACAAGAUCCUGAAAGAUGGUGCACGUAGUGGUGGGAGGGUGAAACCUAUGGCUCUAUAACAUGGGUGGAGCUUCAGUCUUAGAUAAAAGGAAUUAGCUCUCCAGGGGAGCAUAGAGAUAGGGAAAGGAGUUAGGAGAAGUACCUGAAGAUUUGUAGAGGAGCAUGAUGGAGAUGAAGUGCACCAGGGACAAGAUUAUAGAGGAAAAAACAGUCUCUAAAGAAAUAUUCAGGCCUACAGGCCGAAGUGGAACCAUUAACAGAAGAACUCAUGGUAUAUCAAAGGGAGAACCUAGUUGGAAACUUGAACUGAAGCUCAGGAAAAUUUAAAGUGGUCUUGGGCCAGGGUCACAAGUAACAUCUGGUUGCCUUGGACUCACCUUGAUUGAGGGGUGGACAGAUAGCAAGGAGGAGUUAUGGACUUGAGAAUGGACAGUAUGGACUUGAGAAUCCAGGCUAUAUGGAAGGAAGUUAGAUCAGAAGAGAACUCAGAUUCUGUGAACAAAAAGAGGCCUUAGAGUGAAUGAGAUUGAUUUUGAAUACUUGGAAAACUGGCAUGACAGGGUCUAUAAUCAGCGGAUUUUGAAAUGUUAAGAUUUGAAAACAGAAGUGGUCAAGAUAACCUGUGAAGCUAUGAAGUCAGAUGGUUAUUUACAUGGCUAUUGAAGUGUUCCAGGUUUAUAGCAAAAACUGGGCUGGGAACAAAUACUGUGGGUCAUAUACAAUAGGUCAGUCACUAAGGAAUGAUAUGGAGGUUGGCACAUGGCAACUGAAGAUGUAAGAGAAGAGAGGAUGUAGUGGGAUAGUAGUAUGAGUAGUGGUAGGGGUUAUUAGGAUGUACAAAACCUGUGGUUUCCAUAUUGCACUGAAGAGUUGGUUGCCGUAAUGCCCAGCUAAAACGAUCCCCUCCUUUUUUUGAGAGCCUUCUCAAUGCCCGGCACCUUGUUGUGUGCUAUCCAUUUACACCUUUUGGGUCUGUCACAUUUCAGGUGUGAGAGAAUGAGCAGCAAUAGCAAGACAGCUGGAGGAGCUGCAGGCCCUAAACACUGAUGGAAUCGUGUGACCAUCUCCUUAACUCUGAAGACCAGCAGACUGGUCAGCUUGAAGUGGCUUAAAAAGAUUUCCUUAGGAUUAAAAUAUUUCCUUCAUCUUGACCUAAGUUUAUUACAUCGUGCACACCUUUGUUGGCUGUGUUCCAUAAUGUACUUUGGCUUCUGAGCCUCUGAGCUGAGGAUUGAGCUAGUACUGCCCUUUGGGAAAAAACAGGCACAGUACUUUAAAAACAUACUGAUUAACUAGAACAAACACAGUCCUAUUAUCUUACUGCACUUUUAAGAUAGAGCAGACAAAAGAAAGCUCACAUCAGUGCAUGAAUAACAAAACCACUUUGUAAAAGCUAUUGUAGGGUCUGGAUGCAUCUUGUUUAGUGGGUAUAUUGUAGAUGUUCCCUAUGUUGUUGGGAAGGAGGGCUGAAGAUUAAUGCAGAAAGACAGCCCUUAGGAUUUGGAAGGUAAAGUUUAGAGAAGAGAGUUUCUGAGAACCCUCUGAUACUGUAUGCAGUCAUUUUUCUUCUGUUACAGUCUUCAGAUAAGUCGAUAUUCCAGUAAACGUUGAGAACAACUGCGGUAGAGUGACUAAGCCCUCAGACAGGCUAUCCCCUCCUGUGUAGGCUGCUUCAUAUUCCUCAGGAGAAACUGGUAGAAGACUUCAUAUGAGGGAGAAGAAAAGGAAAAAAGCAGAGGAUAACUACAGCUUCUCCAUCUCAGUUCUACAAAGCAUGACUCAGCAGAAGCAUCACUCACUUGAGACUUCAGACCACAGGUUGCUCUUUUCAAUUGUAUGCUUAGCUCUCUUGGCUCAUUUCUCUUUUCAGAAGUUGUACUGUAUGUGUGUAUAUGAACUAUACUUCCCACAAAGAGCACCCCAUGUUCACAACAAAAAACAAUUUCCAAAAUAUGGCAUAAUAAUUGCCCUGUUAGGCCUCCAAUAGUAGAAAUUGCUGGCUUCCAAAUGCUGGAAUGUAGGCCACCAGAGAUGAGUUUGGGCUCAGCAAUAAAGGAUUCCAGCUUCAAGAAAGGAAGGCAGUCAAAUGACUUGAAAGUAACCCCUAUUCCUGUGCUCAUAUUCUUUUUUUUUCUGCCCCAUGUAUAUGCCACUGGGAGUCAGUCUUUAAUUAGCACUUCCUCCCCAUCUCUUAAGACUCAGAGAGGUAUGAAUGCUAAGGUUGGAGUUUAAUUUGUCAUAGCUACCUCUACACUUGGGGAAAUAUUCAGUUAAUCAGCCUGAUACCCACUUCCACCUGAUCUUAUGGCAGCCAGAAGCUAUAGCUGAGGCCAGCUACCCUAGACUGCAGCCUCAGGAUUUACUUCUUAUGUCUCACCUGAUUGUGAAGUACCAGUUAGAGGGCUUGCCCCAGGGCAGUCCCCUGUACUAAAAUGGUUAUAAGAGGUUAGUACUUAAGACAUAGUAUAUAAAGAGGAAAUCUUAAGGGUUAAUAGUAAAUAUCAGGAGUUCUGGUUACUUUUUCUCAAUCUGGAAUGGGCAGAAUAGGGAAUGGGGAAAGUGAAAAGUCUUGUAUCUUUCAAAUACAUUCUCAGUGAUUCCUCAGGACACCCUUGGUCACAUCUGGUGUGGUAUCCUGGGUCUUGCCUCUCUUCAGAGUCCUAGUGCACUCCUUGCUCCAACCACCUUUCAUUUCCUACCCUGUCCACCUCAGUGGGUUUCAGCAGGUGUUUUCCUUUCCCUCCUCAAAGCCAUCUGUAACAGUCCCCACCUGGGAGGAGCCUUAUUGUGAAUGAGUGAAUGAACCGCCAGUGUUGGGAGUGUCACUCGUUUUUUUUUCCUUUGGAUAUAAUGAGGAGUAGAGGAGGCUAUGAAAUCCCAUAAUGGAGUAACAAAUGCCUGCCAUUUCAGUGGAUGUUGGACCUAGAAACCUGCAUGAGUGAAGGAAGAAGGAAGCAAACCUGUGAUCUUUGAUGUUCAUAAAUGAACAUAGGAGUGAACUCCUUAUUGCCCUUAGCAAUGGAGGGAGAGAGGGGAGGAAAGUGAGGGAAGUCAUAAAAUCCUUUACUUCAGUGGAGUAAUCACUGGGACUUGAUGCAUAAACCUGAAACUUUUUAAGGUGGGUUGUUGCACUGCACCACUGCUACUGCUACUUGUGAGAAUCACUGCCAGCCACUUUUCGUCAGGUAGGAUUGCUUUUGUGGAGGUUUCUGGUAACCGCUAUUGAGAAACAAUCCAGAACAAGAUUUGCAACUUAGAAGAGCUCUCUGGUUCAGUGACAGGGUGUUAAAGGAGUCAAGGACAGAAGAGAUAGUGCAAGGGCAGAGGCAGGCUGGGCCAGAGGCAGUGGGCAGAAUGGCUCCAGGCAACCCCAAACACCAGGUAUGGCAUAAGGAAAUAAUACAAUGAAAUGUCAAUCCUUGAACUUAUUAUUUGUUACCUGCCAGACCAUGAUGGGAUAUCUAAAAUAAAAAGAGCUGCUUUGGAGGAGGGUUAUAAAAGAUGCUUUUAUAGAAGAGAUUUAGAAGAGGGGAAACUUCCAAUUACAUAAGAUGGACAUUAUAGCUUUUAAAGAUUUGUCCCUACAUAGGUCAAGGAGAUUGAUACCAGUAUGAGCCUGUGGCUUAUGAGGCAAUUUUAACUUACAGGUUUCAUGCUCUUGGAGAGAUGCUGCCACACUCUCUCACUUUGGCAGGUGUUCAUCUAUAGUGAGUACCUCAAGGAACAAGAGGACAACAGGCAUCCAAGACACAACAGUGUACACUUCUGAGUGAAGAUAGCAACUGAAUAGAUUGUGGGCUUGGCUGGAUUGGGCUGGGAUGUUUGUUUUUAAAAAUACAAAGUUUUUUCCUUGCUAAAAGUAACAGAUGAUCUUCAUUAAAAAAUAAAGUGAAAGGUAUAAAUUAAAAAGGAACACCUAUAAUCUUACAGCCUAGAAAACAGUAACUCAAAACACUGCUCUUUUUUAAAAAAACAAUUUUUAAAAAUUGAUAUAUUGUAUGUGUUCUUUAACUUUUUCCAUUUGAAAAUAAGCAUAUUUCCAUGUAAUUAGCAUUCUUUGAAAACUCAGUAUUGUUACAUAAUAUUUCAUAUGGAUCUAACAAAAUUUAUUUAGAUGAUUCCAUACUGCUGGAUAUUUUGGAUAUUACCAGUUUUGCCUACAAAAUUAAAAUGUAAUAAACAUUAUUGAACAUUAAUUUCUAUGUGCCUCUGAUUAUUUCUUUAGAAUAAAUUUCUGAAAUUGGAAUUACCAAGUUGGAUGAUGAGUCUUAUUAGGGCACCUGACAGGUGUUGUUGAAUUAUCCUCAAUAUAGUUGUACAAAUUACAUUCCUGUCAGUGGUAUAUAAAUGUGCAUCUCAACAUGUUCACCAAAACAUGGACUUUUUCUAAAUUUCUGCUCAUUUGAUGGCAAAAUUUCUUUCAGAGAUGUUUAUUUCUAACUUAUAUACAGUAAAAUUCACUUUUAUGAUGCGUAAUUCUAUGGGUUUUGAUAAGUACAGAGUCAUGUAUUCUUCCAUUCCAAUACUAUACAGAACAGUUAUCAAUAAUUUCUCUUGAUCUUUUUGUUGUAAACCCCUAUUCCCCAUUCAAAAUCCCUGAAAACUACUACUGAUAUAUGCUCCAUUCCUAUAAUUUUGCCUUUUCUGGAAGGUCAUAUGUAUGAAAUUAUGCAAAAUGUUGACCUUUUUGGUUUGGCUUUUUCACUUAGUAAAAUGAAUUUAAGAUUUAUCCAUGUUAUGUGAAUCAAUAGUUCAUUCCUAUUUUAUUGUUAUAUGUCAUUAUAUGAAUGUAUCACAGCUUUCUCCUCCAUUCACUAA